rnacentral:rRNA from 1 species
UACGAGGGGGGCGAGCGUUGUUCGGAAUUAUUGGGCGUAAAGCGCGCGCAGGCGGUCCUUUAAGUCUGAUGUGAAAGCCCACGGCUCAACCGUGGAGGGUCAUUGGAAACUGGGGGACUUGAGUGCAGAAGAGGAGAGUGGAAUUCCACGUGUAGCGGUGAAAUGCGUAGAGAUGUGGAGGAACACCAGUGGCGAAGGCGACUCUCUGGUCUGUAACUGACGCUGAGGCGCGAAAGCGUGGGGAGCAAACAGG